AUUACUGACAUUUGUAUUGGGUACAGUGCAGGGCGUGGAGUUUCUCUGAGACAAACACAGGAAUACCCCGAGAUAAUGUGAGCAGUAUCUCCAAAGUCCAGGCUGAGUCAUAUGGUAGGUGCUGUUUGGAAUAUCUAGCCUGCCUGCCUUGCAGAUUCAAAUGCCUCGGGCAGGAGGGUGAGCUAGCUGCCGAUCCUGCUCUGCUCCUGGGUUUGCUGUGUGGCCCUUGAGAUGGGGUUUCACCGUGUCAGCCAGGAUGGUCUCGAUCUCCUGACCUUGUGAUCCGCCCAUCUCGGCCUCUUGAAGUGCUAGGAUUACAGAGCCUGUUCCUGGAGUGGAGGCCGAAAAUGUUAUCUGCUGCCUCCCCAGCCUCCCUUGCAACUAGGGCAUGGACAUGGGACUCAGCCCCGGCCAAAGGGACCCCUGAGGAGCUUCUGGAAAAUGUUUUCCUUCCUAAUAAAAUAUGAAAGAAGAUAAGUAUCCUCAUCUAUAGCCAGAAACUGUCUACACGUGAUUUCUGGAACUACAGUAGCUCUCUUGCCUCCAUGUGAGCAGAAGCAAAUGGCC
rnacentral:lncRNA from 1 species